GCCCGGAUAGCUCAGUCGGUAGAGCAGGGGAUUGAAAAUCCCCGUGUCCUUGGUUCGAUUCCGAGUCCGGGC
rnacentral:tRNA from 24 species